rnacentral:rRNA from 1 species
CCUACGGGGGGCUGCAGUGGGGAAUAUUGCACAAUGGGGGCAACCCUGAUGCAGCGACGCCGCGUGAGUGAUGACGUAUUUCGGUAUGUAAAGCUCUAUCAGCAGGGGAGAAAAUGACGGUACCUGACUCAGUAGCCCCGGCUAACUACGUGUCAGCAGCCGCGGUAAUACGUAGGCGGCCAGCGUUAUCCGGAUUUACUGGGUGUAAAGGGAGCGUAGACGGUUAAUCAAGUCAGAAGUGAAAACCCAGGGCUCAACCUUGGGACUGCUAUUGAAACUGAGUAGCUAGAGUGCAGGAGAGGUAAGCGGAAUUCGUAGUGUAGCGGUGAAAUGCGUAGAUAUUAGGAGGAACACCAGUGGCGAAGGCGGCUUACUGGACUGUAACUGACGUUGAGGCUCGAAAGCGUGGGGAGCAAACAGGAUUAGAUACCCCAGUAGUC